rnacentral:rRNA from 1 species
AGUCAUAUGCUUGUCUCAAAGAUUAAGCCAUGCAUGUCUCAGUACAAGCCAAAUUAAGGUGAAACCGCGAAAGGCUCAUUAAAUCAGUUAUGGUUCCUUAGAUCGUACCCACAUUACAUGGAUAACUGUGGUAAUUCUAGAGCUAAUACAUGCUUACAGAACUCUGACCGGAAACGGAAGGGGUGCCUUUAUUAGAUCAAAACCAAUCGGUGGCAUGGUCUCGGCUAUGUCAUCGUACAAUAUGGUGAAUCUGAAUAACGUUUGCUGAUCGCACGGUCUCGCACCGGCGACGUAUCUUUCAAAUGUCUGCCUUAUCAACUGUCGAUGGUAGGUUCUGCGCCUACCAUGGUUGUAACGGGUAACGGGGAAUCAGGGUUCGAUUCCGGAGAGGGAGCCUGAGAAACGGCUACCACAUCCAAGGAAGGCAGCAGGCGCGCAAAUUACCCACUCCCGGCACGGGGAGGUAGUGACGAAAAAUAACGAUACGGGACUCAUCCGAGGCCCCGUAAUCGGAAUGAGCACAGUUUAAAUCCUUUCACGAGGAUCAAUCGGAGGGCAAGUCAGGUGCCAGCAGCCGCGGUAAUUCCUGCUCCGAUAGCGUAU